rnacentral:lncRNA from 1 species
AUUUCUGAUCACGAUUGUUAAAAUGAGUCUGCGGAAGCAAACACCCAGCGACUUCCUGAAGCAAAUCAUCGGGCGACCAGUUGUGGUGAAAUUAAAUUCGGGAGUGGAUUAUCGAGGAGAGGGCAGGAUGGGGGUGCCUGCCGCCCUCACAGGCUGGGCCUGUGCCGCCCUCUGCCUGGUUCCCGGCUCCUCCGCCUUUUCCCACGGGGCUGGCGCAGCGGCCUGUGCGGACAUGCGACCCAAGCACAUUCCAGCCCGGACUCAGAGCCCCGGGACCCACCACAUCACCGUCCUCACCGGCAGCUCUUCCUACUCACCGGGUGCCACGGUUUCAGUGGCCGUGAGGAGCAGCCGUGAUUUCAUGGGCUUCCUACUCCAGGCCCGAAGAGUGUCUGAUCAUCAGAUAGCUGGCUCUUUUGUCUUCAUUCCUCCUCAUGCCAAACUGAUAACUUGCUUGGAAGAGGCUGACACAGUCACCCACGCGGACAAGUCCCGGAAGAGAAACCUGUCAUUCAAGUGGCAGGCCCCUGCCCAGCCCGUGGGGAACAUCAGGUUCUUUUUGUCUGUAGUCCAGUCAUAUUUCGUUUACUGGGUGAAGAUUGAAUCAUCUGUCGUGUCUCAACAGACACACAGUAGAGCCCAUUCGGACAGCCACGUGGAGCCUGGCUCACCGAUGCCAGCCUCUGGGCAGAGGCUGGAGGACAUGGAAGGAACCAUCCCAGUGUCUCUGGGCCUCCACUUGGCCCCCAGUCUCCCCAUCACUCUUCUUCAGCGGCGCACAGAUGUCUCUGCUGCGGCUGUAACUGGAGCUGGAGAAGAGGACAGCUCAGGUCCUGCUCCUACCAGUGUUUGGGUGGCAGAGUUGCUCGGGGCUGCAGAGACUCCAUUCCAAGCGUCUUCACACACAGCUGCUGCAGUCAGUGAUGGCCGUCACCCCAGCAGGGACAGCAGCCCCGCCCUGGAACCAUCCCUGGAUGUCCGGGGUCUGGAGAGGCUUGUAGCCCUCAGGGACUUCUCCACAGAGAGCUUCGCUUCCGGCUUCAGCACCUGCCACAGGACUCAGAAUGAUCCAAGCUUUGAUUCACUAGAAACUUGUCUGCCCUCAGAUAGGGAUGAACAGGACAAGACGGAGGCCUCUAAUAGGACAGUGAUGAGGCCUCCUUUGUACACUGUCCAUCUCCCCCACCCUCACCUCUGGUCCUCCGGGGCACUCACUGGACAUGGGGCCGGGGCAGCCCACCCAACUCCUGCCCUCCACACCUCUGCCACCUUCAGGCCCACCACCGCUGAUGGCCAGUUAGAGGCAUCCAGACCCUCUGCCAGCUUCCUGCCUCGGUCAAAGCACAAGGAGCGCGCAGUGGAGGAGGGCAGUGGAGUGGCUGGGGUGGGAGACCCCAGGAAGACCAACCCAAGACCUGAGCUCGGGCAGGAUGGAGCCAGGGCCCCGUGGGGGAUCCAGCUCGGGACUCCGCAGCUGGGCCUCCUGCUCUGCCUCUUGGCCGUGCUGGGCGUGGCCGUGGUUGUCGGCCUUCGUCACCUGCACACCCAGUAUUGCCGCAGGCAGAUGGAAGUGUCCCUUUGUGAGCCUGCCAGGGAUGCGGUUGCCACAGGUGACGAUGGUGAGAUCGUGUACGUCCAGAGAAUUGGAGACAACAGUUUUGUUUUCGUCGAAGGGGAAUGCAACUGGAUUGCUCCCUCUGUGAGCAGCAAGAAAACAGUCCUCUGA